GCCCACCACAGCUGCAUAUAAACUUGCCACUAUACGAAAAAAAAAAACAAAAAAAAAAAAGAAAAAA
rnacentral:ribozyme from 1 species